GACGAAGGUGGCAAGCGUUAUUCGGAUUUACUGGGCAUAAAGCGCGCGUAGGCGGCUUGGCAAGUCGGGGGUGAAAGCCCGCAGCUCAACUGCGGAACUGCCUUCCAGACUGCUUGGCUUGAGACCAGGAGAGGUGAGUGGAAUUCCUGGUGUAGCGGUGGAAUGCGCAGAUAUCAGGAGGAACACCAAUAGCGAAGGCAGCUCGCUGGGACGUUACUGACACUGAGGCGCGAAAGCGUGGGGAGCGAACAGG
rnacentral:rRNA from 1 species